UACGGAGGGUGCAAGCAUUAAUCGGAUUUAUUGGGCGUAAAGGGCGCGUAGGCGGUUUUGAAAGUCAGGUGUGAAAUUUCGGUGCUCAACAUCGAAGCUGCACUUGAAACUCCAAGGCUAGAGUUUAGGCGGAGAAAACAGAAUUCCAUGUGUAGCGGUGAAAUGUGUAGAUAUAUGGAAGAAUACCAGUGGCGAAAGCGGUUUUCUAGCUUAAUACUGACGCUGAGGCGCGAGAGCGGGGGGAGCAAACAGG
rnacentral:rRNA from 1 species